GACGAACGCUGGCGGCGUGCUUAAUGCAUGCAAGUCGAGGGAGAACCGCCGGUUCCGUAAGGACCCGGCGGGGAAACCGGCGAACGGGUGCGUAACACGUGAGAAACCUGCCCUGAAGACCGGAAUAGCCCAGGGAAACUUGGAUUAAUACCGGAUACCUUCGUUGGAUCGCAUGUUCCGGCGAAGAAAUGGUCCGCCGCUUCAGGAUGGUCUCGCGGCCUAUCAGCUUGUUGGUGAGGUAACGGCUCACCAAGGCUCCGACGGGUAGCUGGUCUGAGAGGACGAUCAGCCACACUGGGACUGAGACACGGCCCAGACUCCUACGGGAGGCAGCAGCAGGGAAUAUUGCACAAUGGGCGCAAGCCUGAUGCAGCAACGCCGCGUGCGGGAUGAAGGCCUUCGGGUUGUAAACCGCUUUCAGUAGGGAAGAAAAUGACGGUACCUACAGAAGAAGCCCCGGCCAACUACGUG
rnacentral:rRNA from 1 species